UUGCUAAGUUUGAUGGCGACCGGCGCACGGGUGAGUAACACGUAUCCAACCUGCCGAUGACUCGGGGAUAGCCUUUCGAAAGAAAGAUUAAUACCCGAUGGCAUAGUUCUUCCGCAUGGUAGAACUAUUAAAGAAUUUCGGUCAUCGAUGGGGAUGCGUUCCAUUAGGUUGUUGGCGGGGUAACGGCCCACCAAGCCUUCGAUGGAUAGGGGUUCUGAGAGGAAGGUCCCCCACAUUGGAACUGAGACACGGUCCAAACUCCUACGGGAGGCAGCAGUGAGGAAUAUUGGUCAAUGGACGAGAGUCUGAACCAGCCAAGUAGCGUGAAGGAUGACUGCCCUAUGGGUUGUAAACUUCUUUUAUACGGGAAUAAAGUGAGGCACGCGUGCCUUUUUGUAUGUACCGUAUGAAUAAGGAUCGGCUAACUCCGUGCCAGCAGCCGCGGUAAUACGGAGGAUCCGAGCGUUAUCCGGAUUUAUUGGGUUUAAAAGGAGCGUAGGCGGACGCUUAAGUCAGUUGUGAAAGUUUGCGGCUCAACCGUAAAAUUGCAGUUGAUACUGGGUGUCUUGAGUACAGUAGAGGCAGGCGGAAUUCGUGGUGUAGCGGUGAAAUGCUUAGAUAUCACGAAGAACUCCGAUUGCGAAGGCAGCCUGCUGGACUGUAACUGACGCUGAUGCUCGAAAGUGUGGGUAUCAAACAGGAUUAGAUACCCUGGUAGUCCACACAGUAAACGAUGAAUACUCGCUGUUUGCGAUAUACAGUAAGCGGCCAAGCCGAAAGCGUUAAGUAUUCCACCUGGGGAG
rnacentral:rRNA from 1 species